UACGUAGGGUGCGAGCGUUGUCCGGGAAUUAUUGGGCGUAAAGGGCUCGUAGGCGGUCUGUCGCGUCGGGGAGUGAAAAACUCAGGGCUUAACCCUGAGCCUGCUUCUGAUACGGGCAGACUAGAGGUAUGCAGGGGAGAACGGAAUUCCCAGUGUAGCGGUGAAAUGCGUAGAUAUUGGGAGGAACACCAGUGGCGAAGGCGGCUCACUGGACCGGUUCUGACGCUGAGGCGCGAAAGCGUGGGGAGCAAACGGG
rnacentral:rRNA from 1 species